GGGGUGUCGGGAUUGUUUCGCGGUGCCAGCCUGUGUGGACGCCUGUCUUUCAGGAGUUGUCAUCUGGGACAGAUGGACAGGACUGACGGAGUAUAUAGCCAGGCCUGGCAGCCCACUACAUUCAGACCUGAGCAAGGCUGGGGAGUGGCAGGAAGGAGAGGGCACAGAUGGCUGGGAUCUAGGCGAGCUAUUCAGAAAACGUGGGAGGGAGAGGGCACAGAUGGCUGGGAUCUAGGCGAGCUAUUCAGAAAACGUGGGAGUUGACCACUGCCCAUCCCUUCCUUUCCCCAGAGAAGAGGAAGUUGUCCCAGAUAUAGAGAGCCGGGCUCACCAGCUGCCGACACUGCACCAUGGCCAUGAGACAGAACUGGACUCCAGAAUCCAGGGCUUUGUGGGUCUUGCUCCUGUGUUCCCACACCAUUACUCUCCUGGCCAGAGCCACACCUACACCUCAGAACAUCACAGCUGCCACUGGCUCAGCUGGGAUUCCGGAGGACUCCUGGCCCCCAGUGUUUCCAACAGCUAAGCAGUGCCCAGCAUUGGAGGUGACCUGGCCAGAGGUGGAAGUGCCACUAAAUGGAACGCUCACCUUGUCCUGUACCGCCUGCAGCUACUUUCCCCACUUCCACGCCCUCUACUGGCUCGGUAAUGGUUCCUUCAUCGAGCACCUCCCGGGGCGGCUGUGGGAGGACAGCACCAGACGGCAGCACAGGAGCAGAAGCACCUGGCUGUGGAAGGCCUUGGUGCUGGAGGAGCUGAGCCCCACCCUGCGCAGCACCAACUUCACCUGUGUGUACGUGGACCCUGCACAGGUUGCCCGGCGCCACGUUGUCCCAGCCCAGCUCUGGGCUGCGCUGAGGACAGCCCUGCCCUCCAGCCAAAGCCCAGCGCCACAGCUGUCCACCUCAGCAGAGUCAGGACUCCACCCAGCGACAGCACCACCUUGACCAGAGCCUGGGGAGCCCCCUCCCUGCAGAGAGCAGAGGCCAUGCAGGCGAACGGCAGCUCCUCCUCAUCCCCCGAGGAUCACAGUAAUCGUGUGCCUCCUCGUCCCGAGUCUGCACUCCAGCGUCCUGCUCUUUUCACACGCUGUCUUGUUCAGAGGGCCUGGUGGUGCACACAAAGGCCCUGCCUACGUGACUUUCCCAGCCCCGAAAGCUUGUUGGAAUGCCAACAGCACCUCCACACUUUGAGCUCUGGCCACGCUCUGAACUGACUUCGUGUUGUAUAAACCACCUUUUCAGCGCUGCUACUCUGGUGCACUGUUCCGGGGAAGGGAUGGGCAAUGGCUGCUUGGGACCUGCAGCUCUACCUUCUCAUCUCCAGCAGGGCCCAUGCUGGGUCCUUACGAAGGACUACUCGAUGCAGGCAUCGUAAUAUCUGCUCACUCAGCCCUCAGUGCCGCUCACAGGACAGCCACUCAGAGACUAGAGACAAAUCCAGGUCCUUGGAGAAAAAGAAAAGAGAAGCUCUCUGCCAUGGCCUGGGAAAGCAAUGGAAGAUGGCCCAAGUCCUUGGGCCCCUGCACCCAUGUUGGAGACCGGGAAGAAGCUCCUGGCUCCUGGCUUCGAAUCAGCACAGCUCCAACUGUUGCGGCCAACUGGGGAGUGAACCAGCAGGUGGAAGACCUCUCUCUCUGCAUAACUCUGACUUUCAAAUAAAUAAAUCUUUUUAA